rnacentral:lncRNA from 1 species
CUGGGAUUGUAAACUCGGGCAGUCUGUCAGGUGACAGCUCUUGCCUUCCUGCCGGCCUGGGAGUGAAAGAGGACAGCCCAGGGCACAGUGCCAGGUGUGAGCGGCCAGCCGAUCCCCCGGGUGCAAAGGCUUCUCUCAAGCAGCUCAGCCAUCCUGUCUUUCCAGAGCCUGGGGCUCACUGCUGCCUUGAGGGAUCAAAGAGACUUGAGGGAACACACAGAGCGGGGCCCUUUGCUGAAUCACCACUGACAGGGGUGGUAGAAAGGCCCUCAGAAGGUAUGUCCCCCUGGCUGCACAUUCUUCUAGAAAACCAGCCACAGCUGGGCCUCUUUCGGCUGUAGGACUCCCUCGCCUGCCCAAUCAAGCAAAGGGGGAGUGUCCACCUUGGGACAGGAGGCCUAAGUUGGAGAACCUGGCCCUGUGCACACCAGGAAAUGGAGAGGGGGCCCCUGGCUGCUGCUCCAAAGGGAAUGAACUGAUCUCGGAUUCAGUCCUGAUGCUGAUCUAGGGGAGAGGAGCAGAGUGGAGAAGAGGCUGGAGAGGAAGACAGGACACGGGCUCAGGGCUCAGCCCAAGGACAAUGGGAAGGGCAGUAGAACAUCCUUGUGUCUACAAGGAGAGACUGAAGUGUGCAUUCAAAGCAUCACCAUCACUAUCACCCAAAUCCUCAACCUCAAGUCCUGCUGAGAGAGGACCCGAAGUUCACUCACCCAGCCAGUCCCCAAAUACAAAGCAACAAGGCUUCUGUGUUCUAUGUAAUGAUGUUAUAAUAGCGUAUUGGUACUUAGUGAUCUGCAACAUUUCUGAUUCUUCAGUGCUAGGGUUUGGUCUCUUUUCUUUCUUCCUCCCUUCCUCCCUUCUUCCCUUCCUUACUUCCUUUUUUGGUAUUACUAAAUACAAAUUAUAUGUACUGUGAUAAAGUAAUGAAAAUACUUUUUAUCUUCCUCGCCAGCAAGUAGAACUCAGUUUGCUGUUGAAAACCUUUAACUGCAAAUUCUCCUGCUUUCAUGUGAAUGGAAUUUCAACUCUAAUGCGGCAUUAAUGGGGUUUUGCACUGAAUUGCCUUUUGGGGUUUGAUUUGCCUUUUAG